rnacentral:rRNA from 1 species
GACGAACGCUGGCGGCGUGCUUAACACAUGCAAGUCGAACGGAAAGGCCCUGCUUUUGUGGGGUGCUCGAGUGGCGAACGGGUGAGUAACACGUGAGUAACCUGCCCUUGACUUUGGGAUAACUUCAGGAAACUGGGGCUAAUACCGGAUAGGAGCUCCUGCUGCAUGGUGGGGGUUGGAAAGUUUCGGCGGUUGGGGAUGGACUGGCGGCUUAUCAGCUUGUUGGUGGGGUAGUGGCUUACCAAGGCUUUGACGGGUAGCCGGCCUGGGAGGGUGACCGGCCACAUUGGGACUGAGAUACGGCCCAGACUCCUACGGGAGGCAGCAGUGGGGAAUAUUGCACAGUGGGCGGAAGCCUGAUGCGGCAACGCCGCGUGCGGGAUGACGGCCUUCUGGUUGUAAACCGCUUUCGCCUGUGACGAAGCGUGAGUGACGGUAAUGGGUGAAGAAGCACCGGCUAACUACGUG